UCGGUGUCUAACUGGCAUGUCGUGCGAACGUCCUGUCUGUGGCCCCGCCUUGCCGUGUCCGUGUGCGUCGUUUUGGGUAGUUACCGGGACAUCUCGUCCUGGGGCGUCUUGCCAACGGCCUCCGGAUGCACGGAGGGGGCCUGCUCGCACCCUAUCGUGGUGCUGCUUGACCCGAGUGUCUUCGGAUGGGGCAGACACCGUUUACUUGACAAUUAGAGUGGCUCAAAGGCAGCUAUAUUUCCGCCCUGGAAUAUUCCAGUGCAUGUAUAAUGGAGAUGACCUCGGUUCUAUUUUGUCGGUUUCGGAUUAUCCCGAGGUAAUGGUCAUAGGGACAGACGUGCCCAUUCGUAUGCGACGUUAGAGGUGAAAUUCUUGGAUCGUCGCAAGACGGACAGAAGCGAAGGCAUUUGGCAAGAAUGUUUUCACUGAUCAAGAACGAAAGUCAGAGGUGCCAAGGCGAUUAGAUACCGCCCUAGUUCUGACCAUAAACGAUGCCAGCCAGCAAUCCGCCGGAGUUCCUCCGAUGACUCGGCGGGCGGCUUCCGGGAAACCAAAAGCUUUUGGGUUCCGGGGGAAGUAUGGUUGCAAAGCUGAAACUUAAAGGAAUUGACGGAAGGGCACUACAAGGAGUGGAGCCUGCGGCUUAAUUUGACUCAACACGGGGCAACCCACCAGGUCCGGACACUGGGAGGAUUGACAGAUUGAGAGCUCUUUCUUGAUUCAGUGGGUAGUGGUGCAUGGUCGUUUUUAGUUGGUGGAGCGAUUUGUCAGGUUCAUUCCGGUAACGAGCGAGACUCUAGCCUGCUAAAUAGUCGUUUGAGCAUCCUUUAGUGCUGCUCACGAUUAUAUAUCUUCUUAGAGGGAUAGGCGG
rnacentral:rRNA from 1 species